rnacentral:lncRNA from 1 species
AUAUGUUUAUAUAUUUAUAAGGUUCACUUUUAUAUACAGUCAUAUAUUCAUAAGUUUACAUACAUUCGUUAUACACUUUUUUUUAAUCAUUUUUUUAUUUUUUUUUGAACAUUAUUUUGUUAUCUUUAUGAAAAUUUAUGUUGCUCCAACUACAACCCCAAAAUUUUUUUUUUUUUUUUUUUCCUAUGUCAUCACUAUAUUUAUGUUUUUUUAUUUUAUUUUAUUUUUUUUUUUUUUUUGUUGUCUUACAAUUGACUUACCUUAUUUAUAAACUAUAAACCAUUUAAAUCAAUAAACAAAACGUUUUGUUUAAACUCACAAAUUUUACAUUCGCUAAUUAUUUUAUUUUUUUAAAGAAUUAAUAUGUGAUACUACUGAUGAAACUAUGUAUUACUUAAAAAAAUAUGAGCAUAAAGUUUGGACAGAAACGUUAAGAUUUUUGGGCUUUACAAUUAAAUGGGGAAUUCAUGAAAAUGGGUAUUGGUUAACAAACUUGAACUACUCAUUUGAUUAUAUGUUAUCAAAUCUAAUCAUAAAAUAUUUUAAGGAAAAGAUAAAAUCAGUUUUAGAUGUUGGGUGCGGGUAUGGUUAUUAUGUAAACGAAUUAAAUUUUCAUAAAAUAAAGUCAUUAGGAAUAGAUGGUAAUUCCAAGCUUGUAAAUUCUUUGAAAAAUGAAAACAUAUAUAGUUUUGAUGCCACUAACGAAUAUUUUAUAUCGAAUAUCCUAAGUAUAAUAAACAAUGAGAACAAAAAGAUCGUUACAAAUAAAACGAAUCACUUAGAAGAUAAUAAAACUCAUAAAAAAAAUACAAAUAUUGCUAAAAACAGCUUAUAUUUUGAUUAUGUGUUAUGUUUGAACGUUGGUGAAUAUAUUCCGAAGAAAAAGGAAGAAAUAUUUCUUAAAAAUUUGGACAGGUUAAAUAACAAAGGAAUAAUAAUUUCAUGGGACGUACCGGACAGUUUUAAUAUAGGAACAAUUAAUGAAAAAAGCAACGAAGAAAUGUUAGACAUUUUUACAAACAAUUAUAAUUAUACUUAUAAUGAAAAACAUAGUAAACUAUUUCGAGAAAGUUGUAGUAACAAUAUUUUUAAGAAUUGCACAUAUAUUUUUGAAAAAAAAAAAUGAUUUAUUUUAUUUUUAUAAUUUGAAUUUUUUUUUUUUUUUUUAUAUAAUAUAUUGUUUUUUAAAUAUAAGUUUUUUUUUCCCAUUAUUAUCAAUACUAGAAUAUUAUUAUUGCUACUUUUACAACAUCCAGCUUUAUUAUUAUGUCUAAUGUUUAUGGUAUUUUUUUUUUUUUUUUGCUAUUAUCAAAUUUAUUAUAACUUUUAUUAUUACCGAUUUUACAACAUUUUCUUUUUUUUUAUUUUUGAAAAUUUACUUAGCUAGCUAGUUAUAAACCGUUUUAUUAACAUAAGCAAGACAUAGCUCUUAUUGUAAAUAGGGCUAAGUUAGCAACUGACUUGCUAAAAUGGCUAAAACACUCAAAUCAAGUUGGAAAAAAAAAAAAAAAAAAAAAAAAAAAAAAAAAAAAAAAAAAAAAAAAGCAAAAGUAUUAUAAAUGGCAUAAUGAAUAUUUAAAAAAAAAAAAAAAAAAAAUAUUACCUUUUUUAUGUAAAAAAAAAAAAAAAAAAAAAUGUAUAUAUUAUAUAUAUAUAUACAUAUAUUAACAGUACUGAAAAUUUUGUUUUGCCUUUCUUAGAGAUUUAAAAACGUUUGUUACAAUUACUAAUGUUUACAAUUAUAUAAAAAUAUAUAUAGAUACGUUUGUGCGACACUAGUACAUUUAUAAAUCAGUGCAAAUAAAUAAACAUAACUCGAGCA